AUAUUGUUGUAUUAUUGUUUCAGACUGUGGACCUUGCACUUUUAUCUUUUUAAUGAAAAAUACUCCACUUUUCACUCGGACUAUACUGGUGUUUUAACUAUAAUUUCCUAGUUGAACAUGGAGCGCACUUUUGGACGUCAGCACUGUUUUGACAACAACCUGGGCUACGCGUGUAGGCGCUGGCACUCAGUUUCCAGCACGUUUUUCAUAAUACGGACGAUUUGAUUUUAAAUCUUGACAGUAACAAAACACAAUUUUGUUUUACCCGAACCAAAUUUAAAACUUCAUAAACAAUCUUCCCUUGAAUUCCGGAAAAAAAUCUAAAGUGGUCAUUCGUAAGAAUGUGAGCAUAACACGAAAACAAUAUUUUGAUUUUACGUUGGUGUUUACCGUUACAAUGGAUAUUGA